rnacentral:snoRNA from 1 species
CCAAUGUGGAUGCCCUGGGGGGUCACUCUACCCAGGCUCUGUCCAGGUGGCAUAGGGGAGCAUAGGGCUCUGCCCCAUGAUGUACAGUCCCUUUCCACGACGUUGGAGAUGAAUCUGGGUUUUGUGUCUGCACCUGCAUAUUCCUACGACUUCCCAGAGUCCUGUGGACAAUGACUGACUGGGAAGACAAACCAUGCAGGAAACAUGU